rnacentral:rRNA from 1 species
AGAGCGAACGCUGGCGGCAGGCUUAACACAUGCAAGUCGAGCGCUCGUAGCAAUACGAGAGCGGCAGACGGGAGAGUAACACGUGGGAACGUACCCUUCAGUUCGGAACAACCAAGGGAAACUUUGGCUAAUACCGGAUACGUCCGUAAGGAGAAAGAUUUAUCGCUGAGGGAUCGGCCCGCGUCUGAUUAGCUAGUUGGUGAGGUAACGGCUCACCAAGGCGACGAUCAGUAGCUGGUCUGAGAGGAUGAUCAGCCUCACUGGGACUGAGACACGGCCCAGACUCCUACGGGAGGCAGCAGUGGGGAAUAUUGGACAAUGGGCGCAAGCCUGAUCCAGCCAUGCCGCGUGGGUGAUGAAGGCCCUAGGGUUGUAAAGCCCUUUCGGCGGGAAGAUAAUGACGGUACCCGCAGAAGAAGCCCGGCUAACUUCGUGCCAGCAGCCGC